GGAGGAAAGUAGGGGAUCGCAAGACCUUGCGCUUUUGGAGCGGCCGAUGUCUGAUUAGCUAGUUGGUGGGGUAAAGGCUUACCAAGGCAACGAUCAGUAGUUGGUCUGAGAGGACGACCAGCCACACUGGGACUGAGACACGGCCCAGACUCCUACGGGAGGCAGCAGUGGGGAAUUUUGGACAAUGGGCGAAAGCCUGAUCCAGCCAUGCCGCGUGAGUGAAGAAGGCCUUCGGGUUGUAAAGCUCUUUCAGUCGAGAAGAAAAAAUUGCGACUAAUAAUCGCAGUUCAUGACGGUAUCGACAGAAGAAGCACCGGCUAACUACGUGCCAGCAGCCGCGGUAAUACGUAGGGUGCAAGCGUUAAUCGGAAUUACUGGGCGUAAAGGGUGCGCAGGCGGCCUUGUAAGUCAGAUGUGAAAUCCCCGGGCUUAACCUGGGAAUUGCGUUUGAAACUACAAAGCUAGA
rnacentral:rRNA from 1 species